GGGGCUGUAGCUCAGUGGUAGGGCACUUGCCUAGCACAUGUGAUGCACUGGGUUUGAUCCUCGGCACCCCCA
rnacentral:tRNA from 1 species